rnacentral:misc_RNA from 1 species
UAUCAGAGUAAGAAACACUCUUAAUAUAAAAUAUCCAGAAAAUAUCUAGAUAGAUCUAGUGUGUAAAAUUAAACUGUUUUCAAUACUGAAAGACAACUUCACAAGUUAAACGUUUCGUAGUGGCGGUAAAGUUAGCUAUCUAUUGAUUCAAUUAUUUGUUAUUUUUAAAGCAAAAAUUAGAAUUAAUUAAAGAUCUUAAAAAGUAUAUGCGCAGAAAUGAAACACAAAAUUUUCCUAGUAGGGGGAAUAGUUUUUGCGUCGGAAAUCAUUUGGUAUUUGUACAAAAAAGUUCAUAACUUAUGGAUUAAAUCUACAAACACUUGCAAAGAUUUGAAAACAAACAUUUAUGAAUCGAAACAAGACAUUUCAGAGGUGAUGUUUUUUACAAAAGAAUCUAGUUUUUGUCGAACACAUUUAGCUAAUAAAGAGAUUUGUCUCAAAGACACUUGUUCUGUUCAAUAUUUGAGAAAGUUAGAAAAUUAUAUAAACCGAGCAAAAAAAAGUUUAGAUAUUUGUAUGUACAUGUUAACUUGUCAAUUGUUAUCAAAUGCAAUCGUAAACGCACAUAAACGGGGAGUACUUGUUCGAAUAAUAAUGGAUCGAAGUAUGGCUUGCAAUGAAGCCGCGCAAACGGCUUUGUUUUAUAAGAAUGGGGUCACAAUUAAAUUAGAAUAUUACGUUGGUUUAAUGCAUCAUAAAUUCGCGAUUGUGGAUAAUGAUAUAUUAAUCACUGGUAGUACGAAUUGGACAAUGUCUGCUUUUUUUGGAAAUUUCGAUCAUAUAAUAGUGACUAAUCAACAUUCGUUAGUGAAGCCAUUCGUCGAUGAAUUCGACAGGCUAUGGAAGACAUCUCCAAACUCGGAAGAAAAUACAGAAUGUUCAGCGCAAUUUUCAGUAAAAUAACAACUUGUAAUUUGAAACUUCUCGAACAGCGCAAAUUUUCAUGCGAACGAGCGGUCGAAUUCUCGCGGGGAGACGUGGAAGAGAAUAAGUAAUUCUGGGGGGAUAUGGAAACAGGUACGAAUGGAAAAAAAGAGAAUAAUUGGACGACGAGGAUAUCGCCUCGAGCGAGUGUCGUAGCCGCUUGGCUCAUCAAAAUAAAACGUGGAUUUUACACGUUGCGGGACCGGUGUCGCCACGUAUAUCCUAUAUCUACAUAUGUGUAUAUUUACAUACGUAUAAAAGUACGGUCGUGGAUAGGAGAACAGUCGAGCGUGGUUAUUCGAGCGAACAUGAUCGAGUUACAGAUCGUCACGUUGUUUAUCGUUGGAACUUUAGCGGCUCCUGGAACGCUUCGAGCGACUGGUGGAACGUCUGGAAUCGAUUUCGCUGAUCGAGAUAUAAUAACGAAAGAGACGGAAAUGAUCUCGUUGCCGUUGCCAGGCACGGAGAAUCUAGAGGAGAAAGCCAUACCUUUGUCGAAAUUGGUUUCUCAUCAACUUUUACCGCCCAUCGGACAAGACUCGCUGUCUGAAAAUUCUCGAUUAUCUUCCGAACUUCCUGGAACGAAAAAUCUGGCCGAGAAACGUAUCCCUGUACCGAUUUUGGAAAAGUUGUAUCAACGACAGAAACUCGAUCGAUCGAGCGUUUGAACGAUUUUUUUUUUUUUUCGUUCUUUCGAGAGAUUUUGUCAAAUUGUUAAAUUGAAUCUCGAUUCGAUUAUCUAUCGAGCUGAUAGAGAUACGAUGGAUUAGAGGAAAAUAUACGCUAAUUUCCUUGAGCUGUA